AGUAUAAGAACUUAAACCG
rnacentral:snRNA from 1 species